AUCCAGCCGACGAGUCCCAAAUGGGACGAAACAAGCAUCCUAGAU
rnacentral:hammerhead_ribozyme from 1 species